UACGUAGGGUGCGAGCGUUAAUCGGAAUUACUGGGCGUAAAGCGUGCGCAGGCGGUUUUGUAAGCCAGAUGUGAAAUCCCCGGGCUUAACCUGGGAAUGGCAUUUGGGACUGCAAGGCUUGAGUGCGGCAGAGGAGACUGGAAUUCCUGGUGUAGCAGUGAAAUGCGUAGAUAUCAGGAGGAACACCGAUGGCGAAGGCGGCUCUCUGGGACGGUACUGACGCUGAGACGCGAAAGCGUGGGGAGCGAACAGG
rnacentral:rRNA from 1 species